rnacentral:rRNA from 1 species
AUUGAACGCUGGCGGCAGGCCUAACACAUGCCAGUCGAGCGAGCGGCGGACGGGUGAGGAAUGUCUGGGAAACUGCCUGAUGGAGACGGAUAACUACUGGAAACGAUAGCUAAUACCGCAUACCCUCAGAUGUACCCAGAUGGGCGUAGCUAAUCGGUGGGGUAAUGGAUCACCGAGGCGACGAUCCCUAGCUGGUCUGAGAGGAUGACCAGUCACACUGGAACUGAGACACGGUCCAGACUCCUACGGGAGGCAGCAGUGGGGAAUAUUGCACAAGGGGCGCAAGCCUGAUGCAGCCAUGCCGCGUGUAUGAAGAAGGCCUUCGGGUUGUAAAGUACUUUCAGCGAGGAGGCGUUACUCGCAGAAGAAGCACCGGCUAACUCCGUGCCAGCAGCCGCGGUAAUUC